rnacentral:rRNA from 1 species
GAUGAACGCUGGCGGCGUGCUUAACACAUGCCAGUCGAACGGAAAGGCCCAAGCUUGCUUGGGUACUCGAGUGGCGAACGGGUGAGUAACACGUGGGUGAUCUGCCCUGCACUUCGGGAUAAGCCUGGGAAACUGGGUCUAAUACCGGAUAGGACCACAUUUUGGAUGGUGUGGUGGAAAGUUUUUCGGUGUGGGAUGAGCUCGCGGCCUAUCAGCUUGUUGGUGGGGUAAUGGCCUACCAAGGCGUCGACGGGUAGCCGGCCUGAGAGGGUGUACGGCCACAUUGGGACUGAGAUACGGCCCAGACUCCGACGGGAGGCAGCAGUGGGGAAUAUUGCACAAUGGGCGCAAGCCUGAUGCAGCGACGCCGCGUGGGGGAUGACGGCCUUCGGGUUGUAAACUCCUUUCGCUAGGGACGAAGCGUUAUGUGACGGUACCUGGAGAAGAAGCACCGGCUAACUACGUG